rnacentral:lncRNA from 1 species
UAAAUUCCCUUUACUGAAAAUACAGCACAGAACAGUGAUUUCCAGGUUUGCUUACUUGCCAGUUGUUUCCAAGGAAGGGCCACUCAACGAAAUACUACUGUGUUCAGCAAAUCAGUGCCUAGCAAAUGAUCCCGUAUCGGUGAAGGUUGCAAUGAGUUGAGAUUAUGCCAUUGCAUUCCAGCCUGGACAACAAGAGCAAGACUGUCUCAGAAAACAAACAAACAAACGAACAAACAAAAAACAAUAAAGGAAACUAGAAUUACAAAGGGUAAGUAGGUUAGACGGACAACACUUGUACAGAAAGUUUAGGAAGCUCUGAACCCCAGAUGGCACCAGGCUACAAUCAGAAAUACCAGAUGGUAAGAGCAAGAACUUGAGAGAGGGCACGGGCACCCUUGCACGUGACAUCCCUCUCUCCAUGUCUUCCGUCUCAGAAGGCUUCCUUCCCACUACUGAGGGUGGCGUCUGGAGGCACCGCUCAGCCGCCCCAGUGGCACUCAACUGAAGAGCAUUUAGCCUUGACCUACAGCAACUAUUUUGGUGAUACUGAAAACGGUGGGCUAUAGAAACAAGGGAUGAGGAGGGGAAGGGGAGAAAACCUCCUCCUUUCUGCCAAUCGAAGAGUCAAAAACUUCGUGUACCCAAAUCACUAAUCCAUUUGAAAAUACUAAACAAGCAUAACCUGAGUGGUGGUUCAGCUUCCACAAACACGUCGAGCUGAUCGAAGGGCAGAUUUUAAUUCUGCAGGCAAACUCAUGCCCCCAUGAAUUUCAGUUACCCGAAAAGGCAUUCGCAUUCAAAGAAACACGCACACACCUUUAAACCAACUUUGUGAUUUUUAUUGAUGGGCGACAACUUUAUACUCCUAGAUAUCUUGAUUUGGAAGUUAGAGUCAACAGAAGCUGUGUUGUGCACGAACCCCAAGGCAUCUCCUUUUCAUUCUAGCCCAUUUUUGCAAAGGGAGAAAGAGUUUCUCUCACUAGAAGAAAUGACUGAUGAGUAAAUUAUAUUAAAAUAACACAAUUUAUUUUUUCGUGGAAUAGAUUAAGAAUGGUGAUGCGGGAAUACGCUUAUGGUAUAUUAAAUGAGAAAACAAGGU